rnacentral:rRNA from 1 species
ACACAUGCAAGUCGAGGGGCAGCAUAAUGGAUAGCAAUAUCUAUGGUGGCGACCGGCGCACGGGUGCGUAACGCGUAUGCAACCUACCUUUAACAGGGGGAUAACACUGAGAAAUUGGUACUAAUACCCCAUAAUAUCAUAGAAGGCAUCUUUUAUGGUUGAAAAUUCCGAUGGUUAGAGAUGGGCAUGCGUUGUAUUAGCUAGUUGGUGGGGUAACGGCUCACCAAGGCGACGAUACAUAGGGGGACUGAGAGGUUAACCCCCCACACUGGUACUGAGACACGGACCAGACUCCUACGGGAGGCAGCAGUGAGGAAUAUUGGUCAAUGGACGCAAGUCUGAACCAGCCAUGCCGCGUGCAGGAUGACGGCUCUAUGAGUUGUAAACUGCCUUUGUACGAGGGUAAACGCAGAUACGUGUAUCUGUCUGAAAGUAUCGUACGAAUAAGGAUCGGCUAACUCCGUGCCAGCAGCCGCGGUAAUACGGAGGAUUCAAGCGUUAUCCGGAUUUAUUGGGUUUAAAGGGUGCGUAGGCGGUUUGAUAAGUUAGAGGUGAAAUUUCGGGGCUCAACCCUGAACGUGCCUCUAAUACUGUUGAGCUAGAGAGUAGUUGCGGUAGGCGGAAUGUAUGGUGUAGCGGUGAAAUGCUUAGAGAUCAUACAGAACACCGAUUGCGAAGGCAGCUUACCAAACUAUAUCUGACGUUGAGGCACGAAAGCGUGGGGAGCAAACAGGAUUAGAUACCCUGGUAGUCCACGCAGUAAACGAUGAUAACUCGUUGUCGGCGAUACACAGUCGGUGACUAAGCGAAAGCGAUAAGUUAUCCACCUGGGGAGUACGUUCGCAAGAAUGAAACUCAAAGGAAUUGACGGGGG